rnacentral:lncRNA from 1 species
GUGUGAAGAGAAAUAUAUAUUAAUAUAUAGGGAAAGUGAGGUUUAAUAGUACCCUGAGUUAUUUGUUUAAUCUGUAUUUUUAAUUCUUGGGACAAAAUCUUUGUAAAGAGGGAAGAAUGUGACAAUCCAAGAUUUUAGUUAUUGUAAUUUAAAAUAUUUAUUAAAUGAAAUAAAUAUUUUAUUGAUAUGGUUAUUAUUAGUAAAUAUUUAUGACUAGAUAAUAUU